rnacentral:rRNA from 1 species
UACGUAGGGGGCAAGCGUUGUCCGGAAUCACUGGGCGUAAAGGGCGCGUAGGCGGCUCAUGAAGGCUGUGGUGAAAGUCCGGGGCUCAACCUCGGAUCGGCCGUGGCGACUCGUGGGCUGGAGCACUGUAGAGGCGGGUGGAAUUCCGGGUGUAGCGGUGGAAUGCGUAGAGAUCCGGAAGAACACCAGUGGCGAAGGCGGCCCGCUGGGCAGUGGCUGACGCUGAGGCGCGAAAGCGUGGGGAGCGAACAGG